UGGGGAGCCAGGCUCACAGAAUGCCUGCUUGGAAGCAGAGCCAAGGGGGAUUAAGAAAUUCGGGCAGGCCAACUGGAGCUACAGUCCACUGAAGGCCCCACAGACAAAAGGACAGAUGAUGGAAAAAGAGGAGAUAAAGACAUGUUGCCGGCAACGACCUGUCCAAAAAUCUGACAUUUGCUCCAGACCUCUUCCUCUUGUCUCCUCCCUCGUACUCACCCACUAAUAAGCCCCCAAGCCCGGACCAGCCCGGGACAGGUGGUUUGCCCUGUUAUCCUGGGUGCCUCAUGGACAGUCCAGGCAGCUUUUCCUCUGCAGGGAGCUUCAUUCUGCCAACAGAGCUGGACUGGGAAGAGGCUGGAUCAGGGGUUUGGGCUGUGUCUCCACAGGCUACCAACUUGGGAGGGCCGGUGGCGGACGCCAGGAGCUGCCGGCUGGUAUCAGAGAGCAAUCCGGUAGCCACUGAAGAAACCCUCAUCCUCAGGGUCUGUGAGGCCACAGACACCUUCUUGGCUUGGCUUGCCUUGGCUGGGAGCAUUUCCGGCAGAGAAGAGCGGGAAAUGGAUGGGUGGUGAGAGGGAGGAAAGGGCCUUCAGGGCUGAAAUGAGAUAUUUGUGAACCCCUAUCUGCAAACAGACAAGUGCUGGCCUUGGACGAUGCUGCUGGCAGAUGUGACUCAGGGGCCACUGUGGCCUGGAGAACUCCAGCGGGAGAUGAGUGUGGAACAGACCUGUCAGUGCAGCUCUGCACGUGAAGGGGAAGAGUAAAAUGAGCUAGGAAGGCGAGGUGGAAUGUGUAAUGAGACAGAAGAUGUGAGGGCUCAGGAUGGGAGAGGGAAAGCCGUUGCUGGGGAUUGCUGGGGAUGGGCCACUCUCAGGGAUGGGAGCCAUGGUAAAGCGGUUCUUGGACCCUUUCCACGUCUGUGCUCCUGGCCUAUUGCCUUCUACAUGGAUUCAUGAGACCAAGAAGCAAAAGUAAAGGAAGAAGGGCUUCUCAGCAGAAAUGCCCCACAAACAAAGCCUUACGGCCAUGAGCAGAGCUGCAGCAGGGGAGGGGGCACACUUGCAACGCCUCCCUGCCUCAGAACCAUGACUUUCUCACUCAAAGACUGUCCAUCUGUCCAUCCAUUCCGCCAAGCCCCAGAACCCCAUGCUGGUUUCCCUUGGAAGAGCCCCAGCUCCUGGAGCGGCCACGGCAACAGCAGGCCCAUGGACUGCUCCAAUCCCCAACUUCCCAUCGCAGGCAAGGGUCGGCCUGGUCGGUGGAAGUUAAAAUAACACACUGGCUGUUUAUGAGCAAGAGCCCUCAAUAAAGUCAUCGGUUGGUUCUCUA